GAUCUCUUCGGAGUGAGGGGGAGUGGUGGAGCCGGUGACCCGAGGUGGUAGUAGGUAAGCGAUGGGGUGACGCAGGAAGGUAGUCCAGCCCGGGCGGUGGUUGUCCCGGGGUAAGGGUGUAGGACGUCAGGUAGGUAAAUCCGCCUGGCUUUAAGUCUGAGACCUGAUGCCGAGCCGAUUGUGGUGAAGUGGAUGAUCCUAUGCUGUCGAGAAAAGCCUCUAGCGAGUUUCAUGGCGGCCCGUACCCUAAACCGACUCAGGUGGUCUGGUAGAGAAUACCGAGGCGUUCGGGUGAACUGUGGUUAAGGAACUCGGCAAAAUGCCCCCGUAACUUCGGGAGAAGGGGGGCCUCUCCUGGUGAUGAGUCUUGCACUCUGAGCUGGGGGUGGCCGCAGAGACCAGCGAGAAGCGACUGUUUACUAAAAACACAGGUCCGUGCGAAGCCGUAAGGCGAUGUAUACGGACUGACGCCUGCCCGGUGCUGGAACGUUAAGGGGACCGGUUAGUCACGAUUCGUCGUGGCGAAGCUGAGAACUUAAGCGCCAGUAAACGGCGGUGGUAACUAUAACCAUCCUAAGGUAGCGAAAUUCCUUGUCGGGUAAGUUCCGACCUGCACGAAUGGCGUAACGACUUCUCGACUGUCUCAACCACAGGCCCGGUGAAAUUGCACUACGAGUAAAGAUGCUCGUUUCGCGCAGCAGGACGGAAAGACCCCGGGACCUUUACUAUAGCUUGAUAUUGGUGUUCGGUUCGGCUUGUGUAGGAUAGGUGGGAGACUGUGAAGCCGUGGCGCCAGCCAUGGUGGAGUCAACGUUGAAAUACCACUCUGGUCGUGCUGGAUGUCUAACCUCGGUCCGUGAUCCGGAUCAGGGACAGUGUCUGGUGGGUAGUUUAACUGGGGCGGUUGCCUCCUAAAGAGUAACGGAGGCGCCCAAAGGUUCCCUCAGCCUGGUUGGCAAUCAGGUGUUGAGUGUAAGUGCACAAGGGAGCUUGACUGUGAGACUGACGGGUCGAGCAGGUACGAAAGUAGGGACUAGUGAUCCGGCGGUGGCUUGUGGAAGCGCCGUCGCUCAACGGAUAAAAGGUACCCCGGGGAUAACAGGCUGAUCUUCCCCAAGAGUCCAUAUCGACGGGAUGGUUUGGCACCUCGAUGUCGGCUCGUCGCAUCCUGGGGCUGGAGUCGGUCCCAAGGGUUGGGCUGUUCGCCCAUUAAAGCGGUACGCGAGCUGGGUUUAGAACGUCGUGAGACAGUUCGGUCCCUAUCCGCUGCGCGCGCAGGAGUCUUGAGAAGGGCUGUCCCUAGUACGAGAGGACCGGGACGGACGAACCUCUGGUGUGCCAGUUGUCCUGCCAAGGGCAUGGCUGGUUGGCUACGUUCGGGAGGGAUAACCGCUGAAAGCAUCUAAGCGGGAAGCCUGCUUCGAGAUGAGGACUCCCACCCACUUGAUGGGGUAAGGCUCCCAGUAGACGACUGGGUUGAUAGGCCGGAUGUGGAAGCACCGUAAGGUGUGGAGCUGACCGGUACUAAUAGGCCGAGGGCUUGUCC
rnacentral:rRNA from 1 species